UGCCGGUGGCCGAGGCGGGCAGCGCCGGCGGAGUGCUCCAGACCGGGCAGCGGAUCGGUUCCGCGAUCGGCAUC
rnacentral:tRNA from 1 species